CAGGGGUAUCUAAUCCUGUUUGAUCCCCACGCUUUCGCACAUCAGCGUCAGUUACAGACCAGAAAGUCGCCUUCGCCACUGGUGUUCCUCCAUAUCUCUGCGCAUUUCACCGCUACACAUGGAAUUCCACUUUCCUCUUCUGCACUCAAGUUUUCCAGUUUCCAAUGACCCUCCACGGUUGAGCCGUGGGCUUUCACAUCAGACUUAAAAAACCGCCUACGCGCGCUUUACGCCCAAUAAUUCCGGAUAACGCUUGCCACCUACGUAUUACCGCGGCUGCUGGCACGUAGUUAGCCGUGGCUUUCUGAUUAGGUACCGUCAAGAUGUGCACAGUUACUUACACAUAUGUUCUUCCCUAAUAACAGAGUUUUACGAUCCGAAGACCUUCAUCACUCACGCGGCGUUGCUCCGUCAGGCUUUCGCCCAUUGCGGAAGAUUCCCUACUGCUGCCUCCCGUAGGAGUCUGGACCGUGUCUCAGUUCCAGUGUGGCCGAUCACCCUCUCAGGUCGGCUAUGCAUCGUUGCCUUGGUAAGCCGUUACCUUACCAACUAGCUAAUGCAGCGCGGAUCCAUCUAUAAGUGACAGCAAGACCGUCUUUCACUUUUGAACCAUGCGGUUCAAAAUAUUAUCCGGUAUUAGCUCCGGUUUCCCGAAGUUAUCCCAGUCUUAUAGGUAGGUUAUCCACGUGUUACUCACCCGUCCGCCGCUAACAUCAGAGAAGCAAGCUUCUCGUCCGUUCGCUCGACUUGCAUGUAUUAGGCACGCCGCCAGCGUUCAUCCUGAGCCAGGAUCAAACCCUC
rnacentral:rRNA from 1 species